rnacentral:rRNA from 1 species
AGAGUUUGAUCAUGGCUCAGGAUGAACGCUAGCGGCGGGCCUAAUACAUGCAAGUCGAACGGAACUACUGAUUUCGGUUGGUAGUUUAGUGGCGCACGGGUGAGUAACGCGUACACAACGUACCUAUUACCGGGGAAUAGCCUUUGGAAACGAGGAGUAAUACCCCAUAGUAUGUUUGGAAGGCAUCUUCUGAAUAUUAAAGUUACGGCGGUAAUAGAUCGGUGUGCGUAAGAUUAGCUAGUUGGUGAGGUAACGGCUCACCAAGGCGACGAUCUUUAGGGGGCGUGAGAGCGUGAUCCCCCACACGGGUACUGAGACACGGACCCGACUCCUACGGGAGGCAGCAGUAAGGAAUAUUGGUCAAUGGAGGCAACUCUGAACCAGCCACGCCGCGUGGACGAUGAAGGCCCUCUGGGUUGUAAAGUUCUUUAGUCUGGGACGAAAAAAGGAGAUUUAUCUUCGACUGACGGUACCAGAAGAAUAAGCACCGGCUAACUCCGUG